rnacentral:rRNA from 1 species
GACGAACGCUGGCGGCGUGCUUAACACAUGCAAGUCGAACGGAAAGGCCUGCUUUCCCUUGUGGAUUGCGGGUACUCGAGUGGCGAACGGGUGAGUAACACGUGAGUGAUCUGCCCCCAACUUGGGUAUAAGCCUGGGAAACUGGGUCUAAUUCCCGAUAGGACUGCAGGGUGGUGCCUGUGGUGGAAAACGAUUUUCUAGUGGUUGGGGAUGAGCUCGCGGCCUAUCAGCUUGUUGGUGGGGUAAUGGCCUACCAAGGCGGCGACGGGUAGCCGGCCUGAGAGGGUGGACGGCCACAUUGGGACUGAGAGACGGCCCAGACUCCUACGGGAGGCAGCAGUGGGGAAUAUUACACAAUGGGCGGAAGCCUGAUGCAGCGACGCCGCGUGGGGGAUGACGGCCUUCGGGUUGUAAACUCCUUUCGACCGCGAGGAAGCCACCUGGUUGGAAGGGUGGUGACGGUAGUGGUAGAGGAAGCACCGGCUAACUACGUG